rnacentral:lncRNA from 1 species
CUUAAAUCCUUUAUACUUUACUUAAUUGGCAUACACGCAAAUUCUGUACGAUUUAUGAAAUUUAAGGAUUCGGGUAUUAUACAUUCAUUUGAAAUUAACAUGCCCAUGGACAGUAGAGAACUGGACCCUGUCUUAACAUUCAUAAUACUCAUAUAUUACAUAUUUCAAAAUCCAUCGGACUUUCUAGUACGAGACUUAUACACAUAAAUUAGUGUCUUAUUACAUAACAAUGGUUUUAAGAUUUACUCCAUCUGCUCCUUAUCACCUGAAAUAUUGUAGAAACAAUAUUUCUAAGUACAUUUGUUAGCGUAUAACCAUCAUCUCAACAUAGGUUUUAAUAUACAUAUCAAAAACAUAAAAAUACCAUGGUAGAUGCAUAUAAAAUACAUAGCGUGAAGAAGAAAAAACAUUUAAUCUUUCGCAAUCACUUGUUUAAAAUCUACUUGUACUUGUAAUUGACUAUAUCCGAGUCAAAUAAGUCUGGAAACUACAUUAUACAAUAUGACUCUAGUCCUUAGGCGGGUUUGAUAACGCCGCCCCCCCCCCCCCCCCCCCCCCCCCCCUGAUUUCAACACCCCCUUGAGUCGGGUCUGCAGGCCGAGUACUUCCCAAAAGGUAGAAACAUGAUGGUACAUAGGCAUAUACAUACAAAAAAUCUUUCAAAAAAUUCUCAUAAGGCAUGGAUUUGAUUUGCCGUACAUAAAACAUAAGUUCGUACAUAUAUCCCUAGCAUAAAAGUAAAUGUAGUCUACUUAAAGAUUAAGUACUUACAUUUGCUUGCUUGGGUAUUGUGUUGAAACUCGUUAGUCUUGUACUGAGUAAUCCAAAGCGAUUCCUAUACAUUUCAUUGUUUUUUUUUUUUUUUUUUUUUUCUUUUUUUUUUUUUUUUUUUUUUAAAGAAUGAAGAUUAAUAUCUUACUUAGUAUUAUUAUGUAACUAAGUUGAUUUUUAAGUACUAGGUUAACCACCAACACCCCCCCCCCCCCCCCCCCCCCCCCCCCCCCCCCCCCCCCCCCCCCCCCCCCCCCCCCCCCCCCCCCCCCCCCCCCCCCCCCCCCCCCCCCCCCCCUCCCCCCCCCCCACCCCCCCCCCCCCCCCCCCCCCCCCCCCCCCCCCCCCCCCCCCCCCCCCCCCCCCCGUACAUGUUUAGUUAUUAAAAAAUAAUUUUUUGUAAAGCGUAAACUAGUUGAGACAUGUUCACCGCUAAACUGAAAAUUAAGAAUUCAGUUUUCUAGUCGGGACUUGCAAGUAUGUUUUGCAUUUAAAUUUCGAAUUUGAAAAUAUUAUUUCAUAUAAAACUUGUAGUAUUAAAAAUACUAUUCUCGGACCUGAAUAACUAAGUAAUUUUGUAUGAGAAAGUUAUGGCUAAAAUAGACAGUUGAGUUUGGAAUAACCAACCUAAACGUAAACUUAGUUUUUCUACUCGAAUUUCCAAGUCUGUUUUGAGCCCUAAAGUUCGAAUUUGAAACAUUAUUUCACAUAAAACUCGUAGGUAUUUAAAAUAGCUAUUAUAGGACCAUUGAAUCACUAACAAUUGUUUGAAGAAGUUAUGGUGAAAAAUAUCGACAGUGGCGUUUGCAAUAAAAAAUGAACGUAACUCAGUUUUUUACUCGAACUUCCAAGUUGUUUUGAUCCAUUAAAUUGAAACAUAAAAAUCUUAUUUCAAAACUUGUAGAUAUUUAAAAGUAUCUUUCAUAUAAAACUUAAAUCACAUCAACGGAUAUCGUAUGAGGAGAGUGUGUCAAAAUACUACUGCUGGUCCGGUAAGUAAAAAUCGUUUUCAAUCCAUACAAAAUUGAUUUCCCAGAAAAGAUUUUCAAAGAUAAAUUUUUGGGAAAUUGAAAGUUAUUUACCACUAAACAUGAGUUGCCAAUAAUACUCAAAUAUAGAAUUUAGUAAAAAGUGGAGAAAGAAUUGGAAUUUAUUUCAAUAAAUUUUCUAUUCCCUUCCUGGUUGAUUUCUCUCUUCUGGUUCCUUCAGAGGACAGAGAGAGGGAUAAGCCUUUGUUCCACUUAUGGCCUCCCUCUCUCUUCCUCCUGAUUUCUGGCUACUCUCGCUCUUUUUCUCAGUUACACGACACCAAACACGGAAUUAUAUAAAUAUAUGUUAAUUAAAUAUAUUUUAGUUAUUUUUGUUCAUUUGUUCUUUCGUUUUUUUUUUGGCAGCGUAUGAUGAUAUUUUAGUUAUUUAUUUAUUUAUUUAUUUUAUCUUUUCACCGAAAGUGAAAAACAACGAAAUCUGUCCCUUUGGCCCUUAAAAUUGUUAUUUUGUCCCUAUAACUUGAAUAUCUCUUAAAAAAAAAAAUUUUUUUAUCCCAGCAAUUAUAAAUCUUUCAAUUUAUCUCAGAACGAAUUAAAUACCUUAAAUUAAAUUAUAAAAGUUUUUAUUUCUGAAAUAACUAAAGGUAAUAAGAUCGGGAGAUUACAUUCUUCCUCCUUAAAAAAAGUUUGUCCUCAACUUUUUUAUUUAAAUUACGUUUCGAAGAGAAAAAGAUAGCACGUUCUCAUUUCGUCUUCUCUAUCCAUGUCGACUCUUCCAUUUGUGAUUCCGCCAUAAAAUGUAUAAGCGGAAUAACCUUCUUCUAAAGCACUGAUCUCGUGGUUUAAAAUUGAAUGGGUUGCUCGACAGUACGACAAAUUUCUCGUCUUUCCAAGGGGGGUGGUAUUCAAUAACGUGCCUUGGGUCGAAGACAUAUUUUUCAACAAUCGAAAUAUGAAAAAUAUGUGAACGUUUGCCAAUCGGGGGCCGGGCAGGCGAUAGGCAAACUGGGCCCACUUCUCCAGAAUUUCAAACGGUCCAAUAAAACGUGAAUUCAGUUUUCUUUCAUUCCAAAUAUGAAUGAUACAGCCCUGAUGGGGAUACCUUCAAAAAUACUGAUCUCCAUGCGAGAAUCUAAAUAUUUCCUACGCUUGUCGGCAUAAAACUCUUUUGAACGAUCUGGGGCGGGUCCAAAUUCGUGUUGAUCCAAAGCAAUCUUUGGCUGUGGUUUUGUAUAAUUUGAGGACCUAGAGUCUCCAUCCCCAAAUCCAGUCCAACAAAUAGGGGACGACAUUUUCUUCAUACAAGGCUUCAAAUGGGCAAUCGAAUGCUCGCUGAUAACUAUGUGUAAGCAAAUUCUACUUAAUGGUAAUGCUCUUCCGCAACCUCCUUGAAGUCUAAAUGCAUAGCCGUAACCAAAUCUUCCAGGACUGAAUCACUUUCUCCGAUUGUCGCAUCAGUCUGAGGGUGAAAAAAGUACUAAAAAUUCAUGAGUUCCCCUAGCCAUUGCAAAAUUUUCCAAAAACUGGAAACAAACCUCGGGUCGCGAUCUGAGUGAAGACAUAGGUGGUCCAUGAAGGGCCGAAUGAUUUUCACUUUAUGUAUAGGUGGCAAAAUAUAUCCAUCUUGUGUGUGUAAUCUUCAUAGGCUAAGAAAUGUGCCGACUUGGUGAGACGGUCGACAAUUACCCAAAUGUAUCGUUCCCUCUAUCGAACGUGGUUAACCCUACGACAACAAUCCAUAGUAAUGUGUCCCGAUUUAUUCUGAUGGGAAGAAAAGUCAAACAGUCCUCCUGGCCGGUGGGGGUUACGAUUGCACUCUUUAAAAUUGAAUGCACCGUGUACAUACCUUGCAAAGAGUUUUUAUUCAUGCUUGGCCACCAAAACAUUUCCCUCAGAUCAUGUACAUUUUGGUGCAUCCUGGGGAAUAGCAAAUUUUGAUACUAUUGGGCUGCUCAAAAUUUGUUUCUGAUUUUGCUAACGUGGUACACCACAAUAUGUCUUCAAUCUCAAAACACAGUCAAUAAGAAGAAAUCUUUGGCUUUUCCGUUGCUCCACUCCAUCACGGAGUUUCCUCAAAUGAUUAUCAUCCAUUUGCGCUGCCUGGAUCGUCCAAUGAGAGUGGGCUCCCACCGUAAGAGCGAAUAAAUAGGCAUCCUCUUGUGAGGACACGAUCUCUACAUCAAGUCCUCAAAUUUCUAGUAGUGUUGGUGGGUGUGAUAUUUAGCCAACUACCGAAAGAUUUCGAAGAGGGUGCAUCCGCUAACACCAUUUGCUUUAACGGGGUGGUAACGAAUCAUAAGAUUGUAGUCCUUCAAAGUUCCAACCAACGUCGCUGCCGAUGUUGAUGAUUUUUGGGUAAAAAAUGUUACCUUCCUUUUUUUCGUUUGGAGGCCUUUGGAGAAAACUGUGAAAUCUCACAGGCCUCAUAAAAAUAAUGACGCCAGAUUUUGAGGGCCAAAAAUCACGUGCAAGUUCCAAAAUCGUGGUGGGUAGAAUCUUCUGCAUCAGAACACACCCACGUCGAUCUAAGCGAGGCAUCACUAAAAAUCACAUAGUCACCCUGCUCCCGUUGGUAGAGUCAGAAUAGGAGCCGAUAUCCAAAAGUUUCUUCAACUCUUGAAACGUCUUCACAAUUAGCAUUCACUUGUAGUAUGUGGCUUCGGGUCAACCUUGUCAUUGGUGUCGCUAGUCGUGAAAAGUCUUGCAAAACAUGUCUUAAUAACCGGCGAGUCCAAAAAGCAUUCGAUCUCUGUGCAUUGGGGCGUGGCCAAUUCACAACGACUUCAAUUUCUGUGGGUCGACAGAAAUUUCCUCCUUAAACUUAUAUUCCCCACAAAGGCAAUAUCAAAAAGCCAAAACUCGCACUUGUGACCUUCGCAAAAAGUUUCUCCUACAAACGCCCACGUGAUACACCGCCUCGAGGCGUCACUCAUGAUUUUUCCUGGUAAAAUAUUUCCUUAAAACUUUUGUGCCUUUCUUUAUAAAAUUUUCGGAUGCGGGCGCAACAUAUAAAUUUAUUUUGGAGCAAUAAAAUCAAUAUUAAAUUCAUCAUUUAAAUAAGUCCAUCACAAAGAGAGACUGUACUGUCGUAGACCAUUCAUACUAUUUCAGACAUAGAAUCAAAAGCCAUCGGACUUUCUAGUCCGGAGUAUUACUACAUAAAUUCGUUGUUCUUAUUACAUAACAUGGUCUAAUAUUUUACCCACUGCUUUCCUUCCUGAAAUUGUUAGAAAUAAAUCU